AUGUCUGGAACGGAUGCCUUGGUUCCUUCUGAGCCUCUAUCAAAAUGCCUGGGGUUUCUUAAACAGUGGAAGCAAAAGAAGCUUGGAAGUCAUGUCACUUGGUCAAAAAUUUCAAAAAUUGAGUUGAGUCAGUGACAGCGCAAGAGCACCAUCAUCUUGGACAAACACUGUCACUUUAAGUUCCAGCUCCCUUUCUAGCCUCAUGUAUUUUAAGGAAAUCACUUCUCUUCUAACUACAAGUAGCCAGAAAGAGCAGACAGUAAAACACAGGUAAGACAACCUGGGCACAGAGGGAGGUGAGGGGAAAGUCUUUUGGGUAACUGCCAAACUUCACCAUCAUACAAUGGGCCCCGGUAAAACAGUGGGCCUUAAUAAGCACAUUCCUUUCACUUCAGGUGCACUGAAAUAGGGAAGCUAAAAGCAGACUCAGGGGGUAUGCCUGCAGCUGCAGAAAGAUGAAUGGGAACAGACACAACUCUCCCUCCCAGAUAAGCACCACAAAGAGACACAGAAACAGUCCAAACAUCUGAUAAACUCUCCCACCCUGAAUGUACCUCUGACCUAACUCUGCCAGACACCCCCCUCAGGUUUGUUUUCUCUAAAAUAAACCUGUCUUGACUGGCAAGCCAUCUUUUGUGUUUGUUUCCUCUUUCUUUAAUUCUUAUAGUCAGGACCUAGAUUAACCAUCUUUCUCAACCUGGAAAUAAAAUCUCUCUCUCUCCCUCUCUCUGUUUUAUUUAUAAGGACAUUGAAGUGUACAGAGGUUAAUGA
rnacentral:lncRNA from 1 species